CGCCCUCUUAAAUAAAUACACAGUGUAUGAUGCAACGAUAUAUGUAGAUAUAGACACUGCCUCGUAUCCAGGCGCUACAGUAUGUUGCUGCUUGGUUCGCAUCGCUGUUGCGUGGCCUUUGCGUGGGGCCGCGUGGAUUGUUUGUUUUCGUGAAAGAAAAAAAACAAAGCUCCUGGGUACGAGGCAAGAUUAUACACCAGUACAUGCUCGUACCCAGAGCCCUUCUUACGUUGACCGCGCGUAAGAAGGGCUCUGGGUACGAGAAUGACACCAGUAAACCUCGCGUAUUCCAACAACACUGAAGUUUUCAUUUUUAUUUCUUAAUCAUACAGUAGUUAACAAUUGUAAUGUAUGCUAUGAAUUCAACAUAAUCUCUCGGAUGAAUUUGUUCUUGAAGAAAAUGCUUGGAUUUAAAAAUAAGUUAAAUAUAGUAUAUAAUUAUUUACAAUAUCUCUCCGUGCAUGUUUAUGUCACAAACAUUCAGGCCAGCAGAUGAUGGUCAACUUGGAAUUUUUAGGAGGAAGAAAAUUAAACUAAAUCUUUUUUAGCUAUUUGCCACCAAAUAUAUAAGGCGAAAUAAUACAAAUAACAUUUCUCACUCCGAAAGUGCGUGUUAACCAUGAUUUGCUGCCACAAUAUUUUGCUCAGUUAAUCUACCUAUAAGACAAACCACACUCUAAAAAUCUAUGCAUGGCAUCUGUUCAUAAGAUCUACUCUACUCGCCAGUGCUGUCGGAAGCAAGGUGAAGCGGUGGGGACUGGGGACAGUUAUCUAAAAAGGUCACUUCUGAGCCUUAAUUUUUCGGUGAGCGGCAAUGUUCGUUAAAAUUUUGCUACUCGCGAUUACUUGCAGCAAUAUAGUUGGACAAAUUUCGGUAUUGAUUGGAACACUUUUAUUCGUUGUAUGACGCUAAACACUAAAAUGCAUUGUAAACAACAUGACAGCUUGUCAAUUAUUUUAUAGGAAGACUUUCUUUUUGACUAGUUUUCAUGAGGUGGAAACGUCAUUGGUAUGCUUUCUCAAAGGAAUUUCAGAUUCAAGUUUGAGCGAAAUUGUUUGAAAUUGCUUGGACCAAUGUGGGUAAUGAAAACCACGGUUCCGAAAGGGUAGCCUCGCAGUGGCUCGGAAGAGUAAUUUUCAUUGGCUCGAUUUGACAAUUGCUUUUGUGUUUAUAACAAUGAAUUGCUUCGUUCUUUAGAAAACCCGCAUCCAAUUGGAGACGGCCUUCCGAGGCGCUGCGAGGCUUCCCUUCCGAAAAGCUGCGUAUUCCUGCUCAAUUUAUUGAAAAAAGACGCUUUAGUGUGGAGUGCGUCUUGUCUUACAUUUCGAAAAUGUUCCCUAACGACACACCUCCGCACAGGUAAUGUGCAAUAAAUGUUAGUUGGGGUGAAAAAAAGGAUUUAAAUUUCGAGUGCAUUUUGCCGGGAAAAACUCCAAGAUACGAACUAAACUCAGGACAAAAUUUUUACCAAGCCUGUGCGGAGAAGAGAGCCCUAUUAUAGAGUCCAGAGAUGGACUGAUAAAUACUCUAUGCAUGACAGUGUUUUAAACUGGAUAUCCAGAUAAUAAUCGAACAUCUAUUGCUUUCUUUAAGCCAGCUCUUCUGAUGGACUCGAGACCGAUCUCUGCAAUGAAAGAAAGGAAUUGGGAAGAAGGUUAGUUUUGAAUUUUUCUCCUCAAAACAAUAAUGGUGUAAGUUCUAAUAGAUGGUUGUUUAUACAUAUGACCAGUUUGUACUAACAGGUGGCAUUAGAUCACUCUUUAACCUCUCUGAACAAAGCCGUCUAGACAAACAAAUCGUCUUUUAGUCGGACAAAUCGUCAGAUGUGAAAACGUGUCGGACAAAAUUUUAG
rnacentral:lncRNA from 1 species